rnacentral:rRNA from 1 species
GUAGGUGGCAAGCGUUGUCCGGGAAUUAUUGGGGCGUAAAGCGCGCGCAGGCGGUUCUUUAAGUCUGAUGUGAAAGCCCACGGGCUCAACCGUGGAGGGUCAUUGGAAACUGGAGAACUUGAGUACAGAAGAGGAAAGCGGAAUUCCACGUGUAGCGGUGAAAUGCGUAGAGAUGUGGAGGAACACCAGUGGCGAAGGCGGCUUUCUGGUCUGUAACUGACGCUGAGGCGCGAAAGCGUGGGGAGCAAACAGGAUUAGAUACCCUGGUAGUCCACGCCGUAAACGAUGAGUGCUAAGUGUUAGGGGGUUUCCGCCCCUUAGUGCUGCAGCUAACGCAUUAAGCACUCCGCCUGGGGAGUACGGCCACAAAGGCUGA